rfam:Cicer arietinum chromosome Ca6, whole genome shotgun sequence.
UAAGCAUGAUUGGGGCAUCCUGCUAGUAAAACCCUUGAAUUGCCUGUAAGUGUCACAAAGAGAUUCUCCUUCUUUCUGUUUGUAACUUGAAAUCUCUUGCCUUUUUCA